rnacentral:rRNA from 1 species
ACUCCUACGGGGGGCAGCAGUGGGGAAUCUUAGACAAUGGGCGAAAGCCUGAUCUAGCGAUGCCGCGUGGAUGACGAAGGCCCUAGGGUUGUAAAAUCCUUUCGCUGGGGAAGAUAAUGACUGUACCCAGUAAAGAAGUCCCGGCUAACUCCGUGCCAGCAGCCGCGGUAA